GGGGAUGACAGGCUUCGACGGGCGAAGCUGACCUCGGAUUGCAAGCCGAGAGGUACCGACCUCGUAAAAUCAGUACAAACAAUAAGUGCCAAUCGCACAAACUUUGCUGCUAUGCCCCUCGCCGCUUAGCGACGACCGGUAAGCACAAAUGACGCUCUAAUCAGCGUCCGUCUGCCUGCUCCGUUCCUCAACCGGUAGUAGAGCGGGCGUAACAAGGUUGAGGUUGCCGUACAUCCCGCUGUGAGGUGUGCGAAAGAGGUCUUUCGGGAUCAAACAGCUGGCGCCUUUUUGUUUUUGGCUAUUUUACAAUUUGGCGUGAGACGAUAAAUAUCCUAAGCUUGUAGACAUCUGUGGUUUAAUCGUUCGGACGCGGGUUCGAUUCCCGCCAUCUCCACCU
rnacentral:tmRNA from 1 species